rnacentral:rRNA from 1 species
GUCCAUGCCGUAAACGUUGUGAACUAGAUGUGGGGGCCAUUCCACGGUCUCCGUGUCGCAGCUAACGCAUUAAGUUCCCCGCCUGGGGAGUACGGCCGCAAGGCUAAAACUCAAAGGAAUUGACGGGGGCCCCGCACAAGCGGCGGAGCAUGCGGAUUAAUUCGAUGCAACGCGAAGAACCUUACCAAGGCUUGACAUAUACCGGAAAAGGCUAGAGAUAGUCUCCCCGUAAGGUCGGUAUACAGGUGGUGCAUGGUUGUCGU